AUGCAGAGAACUUCCAGAGAUGGAUUGGUGCCUUCGGGAACUCUGACACAGGUGCUGCAUGGCUGUCGUCAGCUCGUGUCGUCGAGAUGUUGGGUUAAGUCCCGUAACGAGCGCAACCCUUGUCCUUAGUUACCAGCACGGUUAUGGUGGGCACUCUAAGGAGACUGCCGGUGACAACCGGAGGAAGGUGGGGAUGACGUCAAGUCAUCAUGGCCCUUACGGCCUGGGCUACACACGUGCUACAAUGGUCGGUACAAAGGGUUGCCAAGCCGCGAGGUGGAGCUAAUCCCAUAAAACCGAUCGUAGUCCGGAUCGCAGUCUGCAACUCGACUGCGUGAAGUCGGAAUCGCUAGUAAUCGUGAAUCAGAAUGUCACGGUGAAUACGUUCCCGGGCCUU
rnacentral:rRNA from 1 species